rnacentral:rRNA from 1 species
CCUACGGGAGGCAGCAGUGAGGAAUAUUGGACAAUGGGCGCAAGCCUGAUCCAGCCAUGCCGCGUGCAGGAAGACGGUCCUAUGGAUUGUAAACUGCUUUUAUACAGGAAGAAACACCUCUACGUGUAGAGACUUGACGGUACUGUAUGAAUAAGCAUCGGCUAACUCCGUGCCAGCAGCCGCGGUAAUACGGAGGAUGCGAGCGUUAUCCGGAAUCAUUGGGUUUAAAGGGUCCGUAGGCGGUUUAAUAAGUCAGUGGUGAAAGCCCAUCGCUCAACGAUGGAACGGCCAUUGAUACUGUUAAACUUGAAUUAUUAGGAAGUAACUAGAAUAUGUAGUGUAGCGGUGAAAUGCUUAGAGAUUACAUGGAAUACCAAUUGCGAAGGCAGGUUACUACUAAUAUAUUGACGCUGAUGGACGAAAGCGUGGGGAGCGAACAGGAUUAGAUACCCUGGUAGUCCACGCCGUAAACGAUGGAUACUAGCUGUUCGGAGCAAUCUGAGUGGCUAAGCGAAAGUGAUAAGUAUCCCACUGGGGAGUACGUUGCAAGAUGAAACUCAAAGGAAUUGACGG